GAUGAACGCUAGCGGCGGGCCUAAUACAUGCAAGUUGAACGAGAUUGUUGGUAGCAAUACUGACAUGAAAGUGGCGCACGGGUGCGUAACACGUAUGUAACCUACCUUUAACUGGGGCAUAGCUUCGAGAAAUCGAAAUUAAUACCCCAUAACAUUUAGAAAAGGCAUCUUUUCUUUAUCAAAGUUCCGGCGGUUAAAGUUGGACAUGCGGUGCAUUAGCUUGUUGGUGAGGUAACGGCUCACCAAGGCUACGAUGCAUAGGGGGUCUGAGAGGAUGAUCCCCCACACUGGUACUGAGACACGGACCAGACUCCUACGGGAGGCAGCAGUAGGGAAUAUUGGGCAAUGGACGAAAGUCUGACCCAGCCACGCCGCGUGAAGGAUGACUGCCCUAUGGGUUGUAAACUUCUUUUGUAUGGGAAGAAAUUCCGAACGUGUUCGGAGCUGACGGUACCAUAAGAAUAAGCAUCGGCUAACUCCGUGCCAGCAGCCGCGGUAAUGUAGU
rnacentral:rRNA from 1 species